ACGUACACUCCUACGGGAGGCAGCAGUGGGGAAUAUUGGACAAUGGGCGCAAGCCUGAUCCAGCCAUGCCGCGUGAGUGAUGAAGGCCCUAGGGUUGUAAAGCUCUUUCACCGGUGAAGAUAAUGACGGUAACCGGAGAAGAAGCCCCGACUAACUUCGUGCCAGCAGCCGCGGUAAUACGAAGGGGGCUAGCGUUGUUCGGAUUUACUGGGCGUAAAGCGCACGUAGGCGGACUAUUAAGUCAGGGGUGAAAUCCCGGGGCUCAACCCCGGAACUGCCUUUGAUACUGGUAGUCUUGAGUUCGAGAGAGGUGAGUGGAAUUCCGAGUGUAGAGGUGAAAUUCGUAGAUAUUCGGAGGAACACCAGUGGCGAAGGCGGCUCACUGGCUCGAUACUGACGCUGAGGUGCGAAAGCGUGGGGAGCAAACAGGAUUAGAAACCCGGGUAGUCCCAUGA
rnacentral:rRNA from 1 species